AGGAUGAACGCUGGCGGCGUGCCUAACACAUGCAAGUCGAACGUCCUGUCUCGCAAGAGGCAGGGAGUGGCGGACGGGUGAGUACCACGUGGGUGAUCUACCGUGAGGUGAGGAAUACCGGCGAGAAAUCGCCGACAAGACCGCAUAGCCUCGGUGCAAGCCGAGGAAAGCUUUCUCGAGAGAGGGAGCGCCACACGAGGAGCCUGCGCCCGAUUAGCUAGCUGGUGGAGUAACGGUUCACCAGGGCGACGAUCGGUAGCUGGUCUGAGAGGACGAUCAGCCACACUGGGAUUGAGAACGGCCCAGACUCCUACGGGGGGCAGCAGUGAGGAAUUUUCGUCAAUGGGGCAACCCUGAACGAGCAACGCCGCGUGCAGGAAGAAGGUUUUCGGAUCGUAAACUGUCUUUUCUCGGGGAAGAGGAACGGACGGUACCCGAGGAAUCGACGCCCCGGCUAACUACGUCGCCAGCAGCCGCGGUAA
rnacentral:rRNA from 1 species